rnacentral:rRNA from 1 species
GCGCCUCCUCGCGCAUCAGACUCGUACGGAGUAGCAGUGGGGAAUUUUGCGCAAUGGGGGAAACCCUGACGCAGCAACGCCGCGUGGAGGAUGAAGCCCUUGGGGUGUAAACUCCUUUCGACCAAGACGAUAAUGACGGUACUGGUGGAAGAAGCCCGGCUAACUUCGUGCCAGCAGCCGCGGUAAUUC